AUAACAUUCUCCUUUCAAUUUCAGAUCCUAAAUUUUUCUCUCUCUUCUCUUUGUUCCUCUUUCAACAUCACUAGAUUCAUAACCACCUCCGCCAUCGCCACCACCCAUCGCCGCCACCACCCAUCGGCGUCGCGACGAACAGAUUGAUCAUCCAAGAACAUCAGUUUGGAGAGAAGAUUGGUGUACUUGUUGGUAGAGUUAGUGAUUAUGUAAGGAUGGUAGACCCAGUACCAAACAUGAAGAUUGUUGCGUUGAGGUUUAAUGAGACUGCUAGAGUUAGGAUUUUGAAAGUUGGUGGAAAGUGUUUGACCUUUGAUCAGCUUGCUCUUAGAGUUCCUCUUGGAAAAAACACGAUAUGUUUGUUUAAGAUCUUGAUUCAUUUGUGUAUUUUGGUUUUGUCAUUGUUGUAUGAUAUUUGGAUGGAUUUGGUACAGAUGGAAUUAUUUUUAGUUCUUUAAUCUUUUUACCCUGGGUAUGUUGUGAUUUAUUUGAGAUGGAAAUGAUGAUUGAACUGUUUUCAAAGGUUUGUUAAAAUUGUAUUGGCAUAUAGUUGACACACACAA